UACGUAGGGGGCAAGCGUUGUCCGGAAUCAUUGGGCGUAAAAGCGCGUGUAGGCGGUUUCGUAAGUCUGCUGUGAAAGUCGGAGGCUCAACCUUCGAAAGCCGGUGGAUACUGUGAGACUUGAGUACGGAAGAGGAGAGUGGAAUUCCUGGUGUAGCGGUGAAAUGCGCAGAUAUCAGGAGGAACACCGAUGGCGAAGGCAGGUCUCUGGGCCGAUACUACGCUGAAGGAGCGAAAGCGUGGGGAGCGAACAGG
rnacentral:rRNA from 1 species